UGGAGAACAGAGAUGACCAGCAAGAGAUUACCCAAGAUGGAUGGGGAUAUGAGACUGUCAAAGAGUUUGAGAAAAUGACUGGUUACAAUGAUGUGCUGCUGGGAUACAUAGUUGAGCCCUUCCCCAUAAGCAGCAAGCAGUCCUUACACUUGAUACUGUUGAACUCAAGUGGACCAAGUGAUGUCUGGGUUAAUGGGGAACUAGUGAGAAGAGGACUGGCCAAGUCUGAAGUCUUUGGCAAAGAACAAGCACAAAAAGCAGAGGAUCUCUUGAUGGAAUCAGA